rnacentral:misc_RNA from 1 species
AUGAAGAACGUAGCGAAAUGCGAUAAGUAAUGUGAAUUGCAGAAUUCAGUGAAUCAUCGAAUCUUUGAACGCACAUUGCGCCCGCCAGUAUUCUGGCGGGCAUGCCUGUUCGAGCGUCAUUUCAACCAUCAAGCCCCCGGCUUGUGUUGGGGACCUGCGGCUGCCGCAGGCCCUGAAAACCAGUGGCGGGCUCGCUAGUCACUCCGAGCGUAGUAGUUACAUCUCGCUCAGGGCGUGCUGCGGGUUCCGGCCGUUAAAAGCCUUAUUUACCCAAGGUUGACCUCGGAUCAGGUAGGAAGACCCGCUGAACUUAAGCAUAUCAAUAAGCGGAGGA